rnacentral:rRNA from 1 species
CCUACGGGAGGCAGCAGUGGGGAAUAUUGCACAAUGGGCGAAAGCCUGAUGCAGCGACGCCGCGUGAGGGAUGACGGCCUUCGGGUUGUAAACCUCUUUCAGCAGGGACGAAGCGCAAGUGACGGUACCUGCAGAAGAAGCACCGGCUAACUACGUGCCAGCAGCCGCGGUAAUACGUAGGGUGCGAGCGUUGUCCGGAUUUAUUGGGCGUAAAGAGCUCGUAGGCGGCUUGUCGCGUCGGGUGUGAAAACUCGCGGCUCAACCGCGAGCCUGCACCCGAUACGGGCGGGCUGGAGUUCGGCAGGGGAGACUGGAAUUCCUGGUGUAGCGGUGAAAUGCGCAGAUAUCAGGAGGAACACCGGUGGCGAAGGCGGGUCUCUGGGCCGAUACUGACGCUGAGGAGCGAAAGCGUGGGGAGCGAACAGGAUUAGAUACCCUUGUAGUC